rnacentral:rRNA from 1 species
CCGGACCCCACUGCUAUCGGGGUGGGACUAAAACAUGCAAGUCGAGCGCCUCCAAGCUAUGGUGAAGGCGCGGCAAACGGCUCAGUAACACGUGGCCAACCUACCCUUAGGACGGAGACAACCCCGGGAAACUGGGGCUAAUCCCCGAUAAGUAAGGAAUCCUGGAAUGGAUCUUUGCUGAAAGGGCGUCUGGACUAUGCUUCUUGACGUCGCCCAAGGAUGGAGCCGCGACCGAUCAGGUAGUUGGCGAGGCAACGGCUCACCAAGCCUAUAACCGGUACGGGCCGUGAGAGCGGGAGCCCGGAGAUGGGCACUGAGACAAGGGCCCAGGCCCUACGGGGCGCAGCAGUUGCGAAAACUCCGCAAUGCGCGAAAGCGUGACGGGGCUACCCCGAGUGCCGCCCGUUGAGGGCGGCUUUUCCACGGUGUAAGGAGCCGUGGGAAUAAGGAGAGGGCAAGACUGGUGUCAGCCGCCGCGGUAAUACCAGCUCUCCGAGUGGUGGGGACGAUUAUUGGGCUUAAAGCGUUCGUAGCCGGCUUAACAAGUCUUCCGUUAAAUCCAACGAUCUAAUCGUUGGGCUGCGGGAGAUACUGUUGGGCUAGGAGGCGGGAGAAGCCGACGGUAUUCUCGGGGUAGGGGUGAAAUCCUGUAAUCCCGGGAGGACCACCAGUGGCGAAGGCGGUCGGCUAGAACGCGCUCGACGGUGAGGGACGAAAGCUGGGGGAGCGAACCGGAUUAGAAACCCGGGUAGUCCCAGCUGUAAACGAUGCGGGCUAGGUGUUGGGGUGGCCACGAGCCACUUCAGUGCCGCAUGGAAGCAAUUAAGCCCGCCGCCUGGGGAGUACGGCCGCAAGGCUGAAACUUAAAGGAAUUGGCGGGGGAGCACCACAAGGCGUGAAGCUUGCGGUUU